rnacentral:lncRNA from 1 species
CAUGCUGUUUCAUCUGCUACGUAAGUAUUGAUUCUAAUUUUGUUAUAACAUUUGGGAUAUCCAGCUUCAAUUGUUGUGCUUCACUUGUAGAUACCAAAUUUCUUUUUAGGAUUUGUCCAGCACAUCACCUUAGACAUGUCAAUAUAUUUGGUCCUCCUUGUAGCUCAGAGAGAAAAAUUCCAUUUAUGUAAAUCUUUGUUUGGAUAUUCAAGUCAACCCAAAACAAACUAUCUAUGCAUGUCUCUACCUGGAGAGUUGAGGCUAAUUAUCAGCCUUCCUUCUCUUCUUAAUGUUGUCAAAAUGUGACAAAUUAGAGCAAGUCUCCCCACCUAAAAGAAAUUGGUAAUACCAAGAUAGACAAUUCACUUUGUGUACACGGGAAAUUCCACAGGGAGGUUCCACAUACUCAAUUUGCAAAUUCUUAAUGUUGUCGAGGUUUGUAACUUCAAGCAAGUUACACCACCUGAAAGAAUUGGUAUACCAACAGGAAGUAUCUAAGAACAUACACUCUUUUUGGCAAAAUUUUCUCUUUUCCCGUCUGAGGGGGAUAACGUGGUUGUACUCUCAUUUCUUAGUUUCAAGUAUGGUAUCAGGAAAAUCUCUCUUAAACAGGCAAUAAGUGUAUUUUCAUGCACACUAUUGACACUUUAUAUGUUUUUGUUUGAUGAACUGGAGCAGGUCUUAAAUGAAGAAAGCAAAAAGAAACUCCUCGACAGGGCCAAACAUCUCUUCAUCCAAAAGGUUUUUCUGUUUGUUACACUUGCACCCCUAGUACGCAUUCUAAACUGAAUAUUCAAUGUUUUUACUCAAAUGAGCUGUAAUUUUUAUCUCCAGGUCAUAAAGUACGGCAGAGUAGAAGCGCACUGAAUCAGUGGAAUAUUCUGUUGUGGAUAGGGAAGAAACUCAACUCAUGGAAGUCUUGAAGAAUUUUCCUAAAGCAGUGUGAUGUAAAUGUAACUACUAAAUUAGGUUUACCAAUAAGGGAUGUGAUCCAAUUGAUUGGAGAAAUGAGAUGUUAGUCUUAGAAUAUGUCAGCAGCAAAAAAAAAGAAACUGAGCUUGUCAUGCUUGUAGAUUUAUUGUAUGUAGCUACAGGCUGCUCUUGGUGUUUACAAAUACUUGGCGGCUUAUAUGUAUAUGAUUAAAUUACUGAUGUUGGAGAAUUCAGAACCCAUGAAGUUUAAAUUAUGAAUCUGCAAUUUUCAAAUUGGUUGUGGUUUCAUUGUAUGUUUCCAAGUGUAA